rnacentral:rRNA from 1 species
GAAUGCUGACAUAAGUAACGAUAAAGCGGGUGAAAAGCCCGCUCGCCGGAAGACCAAGGGUUCCUGUCCAACGUUAAUCGGGGCAGGGUGAGUCGACCCCUAAGGCGAGGCCGAAAGGCGUAGUCGAUGGGAAACGGGUUAAUAUUCCCGUACUUGGUGUUACUGCGAAGGGGGGACGGAGAAGGCUAUGUUGGCCGGGCGACGGUUGUCCCGGUUUAAGCGUGUAGGUGUGUGUUCCAGGUAAAUCCGGUUCACUUUAACACUGAGGCGUGACGACGAGGCACUACGGUGCUGAAGCAACAAAUGCCCUGCUUCCAGGAAAAGCCUCUAAGCAUCAGGUAACAUCAAAUCGUACCCCAAACCGACACAGGUGGUCAGGUAGAGAAUACCAAGGCGCUUGAGAGAACUCGGGUGAAGGAACUAGGCAAAAUGGUGCCGUAACUUCGGGAGAAGGCACGCUGACACGUAGGUGAAGUGAUUUACUCAUGGAGCUGAAGUCAGUCGAAGAUACCAGCUGGCUGCAACUGUUUAUUAAAAACACAGCACUGUGCAAACACGAAAGUGGACGUAUACGGUGUGACGCCUGCCCGGUGCCGGAAGGUUAAUUGAUGGGGUCAGCGCAAGCGAAGCUCCUGAUCGAAGCCCCGGUAAACGGCGGCCGUAACUAUAACGGUCCUAAGGUAGCGAAAUUCCUUGUCGGGUAAGUUCCGACCUGCACGAAUGGCGUAAUGAUGGCCAGGCUGUCUCCACCCGAGACUCAGUGAAAUUGAACUCGCUGUGAAGAUGCAGUGUACCCGCGGCAAGACGGAAAGACCCCGUGAACCUUUACUAUAGCUUGACACUGAACAUUGAGCCUUGAUGUGUAGGAUAGGUGGGAGGCUUUGAAGUGUGGACGCCAGUCUGCAUGGAGCCGACCUUGAAAUACCACCCUUUAAUGUUUGAUGUUCUAACGUGGACCCGUUACCCGGGUUGCGGACAGUGUCUGGUGGGUAGUUUGACUGGGGCGGUCUCCUCCUAAAGAGUAACGGAGGAGCACGAAGGUUGGCUAAUCCUGGUCGGACAUCAGGAGGUUAGUGCAAUGGCAUAAGCCAGCUUGACUGCGAGCGUGACGGCGCGAGCAGGUGCGAAAGCAGGUCAUAGUGAUCCGGUGGUUCUGAAUGGAAGGGCCAUCGCUCAACGGAUAAAAGGUACUCCGGGGAUAACAGGCUGAUACCGCCCAAGAGUUCAUAUCGACGGCGGUGUUUGGCACCUCGAUGUCGGCUCAUCACAUCCUGGGGCUGAAGUAGGUCCCAAGGGUAUGGCUGUUCGCCAUUUAAAGUGGUACGCGAGCUGGGUUUAGAACGUCGUGAGACAGUUCGGUCCCUAUCUGCCGUGGGCGCUGGAGAACUGAGGGGGGCUGCUCCUAGUACGAGAGGACCGGAGUGGACGCAUCACUGGUGUUCGGGUUGUCAUGCCAAUGGCACUGCCCGGUAGCUAAAUGCGGAAGAGAUAAGUGCUGAAAGCAUCUAAGCACGAAACUUGCCCCGAGAUGAGUUCUCCCUGAG